CCGGGUGUUUCCAGUUCCUGGAGUGGGAGGCGGCCCCCCCUCCUGCCAAGAUGUUUCAGGAGGCGCUAUAGGAGCACACAGACAGGGUGUCAGAUGUCAGGCAGCAAAAUCAAAUGACCUGUGUCCUCCCAGCUCAGAAUUCAAAGGCCAGGCCACCCUCACACACGCGGGGUCCCACUCCCUGUUCAUUCUGUGUCUCCAGCUCUCCCAGCCACAGCUCAGGAGCUUCUCCAUCAUCUCUCUGCAUCGGGGCCUUCUUGGGAAGAAGCUGGCUGUCGCUGAUGUCCUUUUCCAAGUCCCCAGCCCAGCACGUGUGGCUGCAGAGGUUCAUGAAAUGGGAGCCUCUGCCUCUCCGGGAGAUCCACCCCACUCUUCUCCAUUCCUGUCACGGCCAGUAAAUGGUCAUGUGAUUGUAGACUAGCAAGGCCUGCUACUACCAGGAGACCACAGACAGCUCCACUUGGUCUCCCCUGCACAGGGGCCUCCGGGAUCUGGAGGAAGGGACAGUCCCUCCUGCCUCCCCCUCUUCCAGCCAGAGGGCAUGCGAGGCAGGAUCGGCCUCUCGGAACAUCGCCCGGCAGUCCUGGAGGCUGGAAGUCUGAGGCAAAGGUGUCAGGAGGGUUGGCUCCUCCUGAGGCCUCUCUCCUUGGCUUGUGGACCACUGUCUUCUCCGUGUCCUCACACGCAGUCUUCCCUCUGUGACUGUCUGUGUCCUAAUCCCCUCUUCUUGUAAGGACCCCAGUCAGAUUGGAUUAGGGCCCACUCCAAUGACCUCAUUUUAACUUAAUCACCUCUUUAAAGACCCUGACUCCAAAUACAGUCACAGGGGGCCAGGGCUUCAACACGUGAAUUUGGGGAGGGGAGGACACAGCUGGCCGCUGAGCCUUUGUCGGCCAUCAGCACGGAAUGUCGGUCCCAUUCCGUUGUCCACAGUCAUCACUGUCUGUUGGGCGGAUCUUCAGUGCUGGGGCAGAGCCUCUGCCUCUUCAUCCAGACAACGUGGCAUGAUGAUGAGGAGCCUGGGGAUACCACCUUCAUCACAGAGAGCAAAGCAGAGAGCUGGAAGGAACCCCUGAUGACACCCUGGAGUCAUCAAGUCAAACCCAUGCUGACAUCCACCUGCCUCUUGUCUCCCAGCCAUAUACGCCAGGAAAUCUCUGUCCAUAUCUGA